UUGAACGCUGGCGGCAGGCCUAACACAUGCAAGUCGAGCGGAUGACGGGAGCUUGCUCCUUGAUUCAGCGGCGGACGGGUGAGUAAUGCCUAGGAAUCUGCCUGGUAGUGGGGGACAACGUUUCGAAAGGAACGCUAAUACCGCAUACGUCCUACGGGAGAAAGCAGGGGACCUUCGGGCCUUGCGCUAUCAGAUGAGCCUAGGUCGGAUUAGCUAGUUGGUGGGGUAAUGGCUCACCAAGGCGACGAUCCGUAACUGGUCUGAGAGGAUGAUCAGUCACACUGGAACUGAGACACGGUCCAGACUCCUACGGGAGGCAGCAGUGGGGAAUAUUGGACAAUGGGCGAAAGCCUGAUCCAGCCAUGCCGCGUGUGUGAAGAAGGUCUUCGGAUUGUAAAGCACUUUAAGUUGGGAGGAAGGGCAGUAAGYUAAUACCUUGCUGUUUUGACGUUACCGACAGAAUAAGCACCGGCUAACUCUGUGCCAGCAGCCGCGGUAAUACAGAGGGUGCAAGCGUUAAUCGGAAUUACUGGGCGUAAAGCGCGCGUAGGUGGUUUGUUAAGUUGGAUGUGAAAGCCCCGGGCUCAACCUGGGAACUGCAUCCAAAACUGGCAAGCUAGAGUACGGUAGAGGGUGGUGGAAUUUCCUGUGUAGCGGUGAAAUGCGUAGAUAUAGGAAGGAACACCAGUGGCGAAGGCGACCACCUGGACUGAUACUGACACUGA
rnacentral:rRNA from 1 species